rfam:Triticum aestivum genome assembly, contig: Triticum_aestivum_CS42_TGACv1_scaffold_320316_4BL
AUAUUAAUCCCUCCGUCCGGAAAUACUUGUCAUCAAAAUGGAUAAAAGAAAAUGUAUUUAGACAUAUUUUAUUUCGAGAUACAUCUCUUUUUGUCCAUUUGGAUGACAAGUAUUUUCGGACGGAGGUUGUCUA